rnacentral:rRNA from 1 species
GACGAACGCUGGCGGCGUGCUUAACACAUGCAAGUCGAACGGUGAAGCGCCUUCCUUUUUGGUGGGUGUGGAGGAGUGGCGAACGGGUGAGUAACACGUGAGUAACCUGCCCCCUCCUGCUGGAUAACCGCAUGAAAGUGUGGCUAAUACGGGAUAUUCUGGGUCGGUCGCAUGAUGGUUCUGGGAAAGUUAUUGUUUCGGUGGGGGAUGGGCUCGCGGCCUAUCAGCUUGUUGGUGGGGUGAUGGCCUACCAAGGCGGUGACGGGUAGCCGGCCUGAGAGGGUGGCCGGUCACACUGGGACUGCGCCCCGGCCCCGCCUCCUACGGGAGGCAGCAGUGGGGAAUAUUGCACAAUGGGCGCCAGCCUGAUGCAGCGCCGCCGCGUGAGGGAUGGAGGCCUUCGGGUUGUGAACCUCUUUCGCCAGUGAAGCAGGCCUGCCUCGUUUGUGGGUGGGUUGACGGUAGCUGGAUAAGAAGCGCCGGCUAACUACGUG